rnacentral:misc_RNA from 1 species
AGCUUUUAAUAACUAGUAGUUGCAUUUUCUAUAUUUUUUUGUUAAGUAGACUCUCAAUAUUUAAGUUGAUGGACAGCUAGAUUGCAGUAUCUAUGGUUUUGGUCCCAUUCCAUACAUUUCUUUUUGCUUAUACUUGGCUUCAAUGAUUAUAAGUAUAACAGAAAAUGAUUGAAGUUUGAACUCAGCUGUCCAUGAUUAUUGACUCUUUAUUGCUAUGGAGGAUGAUACGAAUAGCAACCGUGGCUUUCACUGAAGCGAAAACAUUAUCCAAUUAAAGUUUUUAGGUCUCUAAACUUUAAUUUUGGGCUUUCAAUGCAUUAACAUCCCAGG